AGCAGUAGCCGCGGAAUACGAAGGGUGCAAGCGUUACUCGGAAUUACUGGGCGUAAAGCGCACGUAGGCGGACUUUUAAGUCAGGGGUGAAAUCCCGGGGCUCAACCCCGGAACUGCCUUUGAUACUGGGAGUCUUGAGUUCGAGAGAGGUGAGUGGAAUUGCGAGUGUAGAGGUGAAAUUCGUAGAUAUUCGCAGGAACACCAGUGGCGAAGGCGGCUCACUGGCUCGAUACUGACGCUGAGGUGCGAAAGCGUGGGGAGCAAACAGGAUUAGAUACCCCUGUAGUCCCUGUCUCUUAUACA
rnacentral:rRNA from 1 species